rnacentral:rRNA from 1 species
AUUGAACGCUGGCGGUAUGCUUAACACAUGCAAGUCGAACGGAAACGAUAGGAGCUUGCUCCUAGGCGUCGAGUGGCGGACGGGUGAGUAACGCGUAGGAAUCUGCCUGAUAGUGGGGGAUAGCCCAGAGAAAUCUGGAUUAAUACCGCAUAAUCUACAUGUAGUAAAGUGGAGGAUCUUCGGACUUCACGCUAUCAGAUGAGCCUGCGUAAGAUUAGCUUGUAGGUAGGGUAAAAGCCUACCUAGGCGACGAUCUUUAGCUGGUCUGAGAGGAUGAUCAGCCACACUGGGACUGAGACACGGCCCAGACUCCUACGGGAGGCAGCA